rnacentral:rRNA from 1 species
GACCCGGGAGUCCUAACACAUUGCAAGUCGAACGGUCUCUUCGGAGAUAGUGGCGGACGGGUGAGUAACGCGUGAGAAUCUAGCUUCAGGUCGGGGACAACCACUGGAAACGGUGGCUAAUACCGGAUGUGCCGAAAGGUGAAAGAUUUAUUGCCUGAAGAUGAGCUCGCGUCUGAUUAGCUAGUUGGUGUGGUAAGAGCGCACCAAGGCGACGAUCAGUAGCUGGUCUGAGAGGAUGAUCAGCCACACUGGGACUGAGACACGGCCCAGACUCCUACGGGAGGCAGCAGUGGGGAAUUUUCCGCAAUGGGCGAAAGCCUGACGGAGCAAUACCGCGUGAGGGAGGAAGGCUCUUGGGUUGUAAACCUCUUUUCUCAGGGAAUAAAAAAAUGAAGGUACCUGAGGAAUAAGCAUCGGCUAACUCCGUGCCAGCAGCCGCGGUAAUACGGAGGAUGCAAGCGUUAUCCGGAAUGAUUGGGCGUAAAGCGUCCGCAGGUGGCACUGUAAGUCUGCUGUUAAAGAGCAAGGCUCAACCUUGUAAAGGCAGUGGAAACUACAGAGCUAGAGUACGUUCGGGGCAGAGGGAAUUCCUGGUGUAGCGGUGAAAUGCGUAGAAAUA